CCUACGGGAGGCAGCAGUGAGGAAUAUUGGUCAAUGGACGAGAGUCUGAACCAGCCAAGUAGCGUGAAGGAUGACUGCCCUAUGGGUUGUAAACUUCUUUUAUAUGGGAAUAAAACAGGGUAUGCAUACCCUCUUGUAUGUACCAUAUGAAUAAGGAUCGGCUAACUCCGUUCCAGCAGCCGCGGUAAUACGGAGGCUCCGAGCGUUAUCCGGAUUUAUUGGGUUUAAAGGGAGCGUAGGUGGAUUGUUAAGUCAGUUGUGAAAGUUUGCGGCUCAACCGGAAAAUUGCAGUUGAAACUGGCAGUCGUGAGUACAGUAGAGGUGGGCGGAAUUCGUGGUGUAGCGGUGAAAUGCUUAGAUAUCACGAAGAACUCCGAUUGCGAAGGCAGCUCACUGGACUGCAACUGACACUGAUGCUCGAAAGUGUGGGUAUCAAACAGGAUUAGAUACCCCGGUAGUC
rnacentral:rRNA from 1 species